AAAAAAGAACAAGAUGGAAUUGAAUCAAUUCUAAUCUCUUGGGGAAAGAAGCACUUUGCUAACCACAUUUUCCAGAGCCAAGUAAGACGACCCUUUUGGGGCAGUGGCGUCCUCUGCCAACUUCUUCCAUUCAAGGGCUUUCUUCCUCAUCUUUUUGCCCUCUUCUCCAUCCAUCAAUGUCCUCACAAGACCGUCAAUGUAAUCUCUUUUAACUUCCCCGUCUAUCUCAAUGCCUAUGCCCCACUGUGUGCAGCUGUACCUAACAUUUGUUUGCUGCUCUGCAAAGAAAGGCCAGCAGAUGAGAGGCACUCCGCCACACAAGGCCUCGAGGGUAGAGUUCCAGCCACUGUGAGUCAAGAACCCUCCAAUGGCUGAGUGGAGCAGAACCUGUUCUUGAGGGCACCAACUUGCCAACAUACCCCUCUCUUUGGUCUCCUCCAAAAACUCAGGCGGCACCACAGCGGUUUCUCCAGCAACAAGGCCAGGCCUGAUGAUCCACAAAAAUGGCUUCUUGCUAUUUGCAAGUCCCCAAGAAAACUCAACCAGCUGCUCAUUUGUCAUGACUGUGGUGCUUCCAAAGUUGACAUAAACCACAGAGUUGGGCUCUUUGGUGUCCAGCCAGUUAAGGCACUCUGUAUUCUCUGCCCACAGGUUCGAUCCGAUCGCCUUCAAAUCAUUGUAUUCUGAUGGAAUCUCGCUGUAUGGUAGCUGAAGGGGUCCAAUGGAGUAAAUAGGAGGUAGCAAAGUGGAAAGGGCAUCCACAACUUCUUGCUCCAAGGCAUCAAAUGUGUUCAAAAUAAUAGCAGAAGCCUUUUUGGAUCGCUCUGUUUCAGACACCAUAUAAUGCAGCAUGAUGUCGUUUGGGUCUGUGGUUCUAAUAAAGCUAGGCAUGUCCUUCAAUCUGACAUCCUUCAUGCCUGGGAUCCAAUCAAUCUCUGUAUCCAAAUACCCAUUUGCAAAAUCCUUGGCAUCUGCAGAUCAAAUUAAGAAAUCAAUGGAACUAGUUAGCUAACACUCUUUAAGUUUUUUUUAAAAAAAGUGAACUUCUGUUUUUUUUUUUCCCUGAAUGAUUAAUUGAUAGUACCUUUAAAAGGAGUGAGGCCCUUCUCAAUGAGACGGUAAUACUGAACGUAGCCCAUCAAGCCACAAGCACUAGUUGUCCAGAAAAGCACUUCUGGGAUCCCGAAAUGCUCUGCUGCAUCAAGGGUGAAGCUGGUGACACCAUCAGCAACAAUACAAGUCACAGGAGGGGAAUCGGGUGAAGAGUUGAGCUUGGUCAAAAGCGCCUCGAAGGGUGCCAAGCAGGUUUUACUAGUGGAAUCGCACACCAAAGGCAAGUUGCGCCUGGCAUCGGCAUCAGCCGGAGGGAGGCCGUCGGGAAUGGUUUCGAAUCGAAACGAAGGGAGGCCGUCGAGAGCGUGGGAACCUUGGGAUUCAAGCAUGCGCUUGUGGUUGAACUCUGUGUUCACAAAGGUUAUGUGGAAGCCUUUGUAGUUGAGGAGCUUGGCUAAUUGCAGCAUAGGGUUUAUGUGACCCUGAGCUGGGAAGGGUACAAAAACUGCAUGUGGCUUCUCUUUGGAGGCAACUGGACUCAUUUUCUCUGUAUGAUAUCCUAGACAAAAGAGCUGAAGGGAAAUGGAGAUGAUGGGAUGCUAAGAGAAGUGUAAGAACUUGCAGUUUUAUAGUGGUGAAGGGUCAAGGGCUGCACUGUGCGGGCAAGUGCUUCUUGACCGUUGAUGCAUUUUUCGGAUUCUCUAUCUGUUUUUUUAAGAUAAAUUGAGUGCCAGUCAUUCCUCGUGGUAUGAUUAUUAUAAUCUCAGAGAUCGACCUUUCCAAAUGAGUCCAAGGCCACGGUGUCCAGAACAAAUGCUCGCACAACUACUGCCUGAUUAGUGUGUUAGAUUGGAGACAUUGUCGCAUGGCAAGUGUGAAAUGUGUGAAAUGUAUGUAGACUUCAAAACGCACACAAGGUUCAGUCAUAAUCAGAAGAGAAAUGCUGGCCGGCAACUUUCAUAAUUUCAUGGGCCAUACUCUUUUAAAUAAAGAUGUAGAAAGUCUUUAAAAAAAGGAGAAGUUUUAGAGAAUAAAUUACAUUGGGAAAAAGAAAAAGAAGUUUCACACUUUCAUUUUUUUCACUUACACUCGUGCAAAGAUAACUAGUCUUAAAUGAUUAUUCAGUAAUUUAUAAAAUAAAAUAAAAUAACAAACUAUGCUCCUGUGUAUAAGGUUGCAUUUUAUGAAGAACAAACAUUAUUUGUCACCAUCAAUUAUGGAUGUUAUUACUUUUUGGUUUAGUUUAAUAUUGAAAAGAGGGAAUAAAUACAUGACCUUGGUUAUAACUUAUAGGGACAAAUAUUCUAAGUCACUUCAGCCCCUUAUAAAAUUUCAAAUUUGACUAAACCAUAUCAUUUUUCAUCUUGACUACCCUACAAUCUCAUUAAAUCUUUCUUUUUCCAUUUGCCUAUGCUAGUCACCAGUCAUUAGAAAAUCCUUGUGGCUGGAUGUCGAAGAGUCUAUGCCAAUGCCCAUUAGUUAUUCCAUUUGAAAGAACAUGUGCUUUGUUUUAUGCAUUUACUUUUUAUUUUAUUUUAUACAAGCGAUAUUGAGGGGAGAGAAAUCGAACUUAGGACCUCGGGUGUAAGUGUAUUUGUUCUUAAUCACUUGAGCUACAAACAGGGGCAGAGCCAUUAAAGGAUUAGUGUGGUCCCAUGCCCCCACUCCAUCUUUUAUUCAUUGUAUUAUAAUAUUAUGUAUGAUGUAUAAUAUUUAACAUAUUAGACUAGUUUUAGGAGAUAUUUAUCCUAAAAUAAAUAGUAUAUUUUUUGUAUUUUUUGUCUACAACAAUAAAACUUCUUAAUCACUUUUUUAUUUCUCUCUUUUACCUUCUAGAUUAGUUUAUGAUAUUUACACUAAAAACUCCUACAUUUUUAACCUUUCUUUCUCUUUUUCUUUUGUGUAAGUUAAACUUUGUGAAUUUUUAUUUCCCUCUCUUUUUUCAUAGAUUUUAUGAACCCCUUUUGUAUUUAUUCUCUAUGUUGGAAUAUAAAUUAUUAAUUUGUGAGUUUAUAAUAUUUUAGAUGAUGAGAUUAGUACUUAACCAUUAUAAAAUAUGAAAUUGCGGACAAUUAUGAUUGUAAUGAAUGGAUAUAUUAAUCAAUAUAAAAUGAUGUUAUGAAGUAGGCCAAAAGGAGUAGUUUAAUUAGUGUCAUAUUAAUUUAGCAUAUUCUUAAUAAACUUGUGAAUGAGAAUGACUCCCUUUAAUUUGAAAUCCUGAUUCUGCCAUUGACUACAAGUCCCUUGCACAUUUACCUUUUUCAUUUAAGUCUGAAGAAUGCCUUGUAAAAAUGUAAAACGAAAACUAUUAUUGACACUGCAAAGAAAACAUCAUACAUUAAUUCAUUCAAUUGUAAUUUCUCUUAUGAUUUUAUAAUUUUUUAGAAUUCCAAUAACAGCUCUGGAUAAAAUUCAUUAGAAAGAAGAAUUGAAGUAUGUUCAAACAGAUUUCAAAAUAGACUAAACAAUUUAUCAGUAACAACUUUUGUCAGCUUAAUUCCAUUUGUGUGUCAAUUUCGUCCUUAUUAUCAUAAAUUCUGUUAUCAGUAAACAAUCCCCAUAUCAAACAGAGUGUUCAGUUAAGGACAGUGACAAUCGAGCAAUAUUGCCUGACGAAACACCAAACCAGAACUUAAAAUCACGAUAAAAAGGAAAAGAAAGACGUGCUGUCUUCAAUGAGAAAACCAACUUCAGAUCUAUUCUCACACCAAGUGAAAACAUAAGGACAAGAUUGAUGAAAUCGAUGACACAUUAACACUACAACACUGGGCGAAACUCGAGUUUCAUUGUGUUGAAAUGAGUGAUACGAGUGUGCCUUAAUCUAAGAAACAUUGCACACCGCCCAAAAAAAUACUCAAUAAUUGUAUUUUGGUCAAACAAAAAAGAUGAGCAAAUUACAAAAAAAGUAAAAAUAAAAAUAAUCAGGGAAUUCAGAAGAUGUUAUAAAGUAAUAAGCGAAGCCCAUAUAAAGAAAGUAAAAGGAUAUUAGUCAAAAGAUGAAAUUAUGAUGUUGCGUAAAAGUAUCAUUAUGUCUCCUUUAGAUGCCAUUUGCUUUGCCUAUAAAUAGGCAUCAUUUUACUUGUAAAGAUACAUGAAUGGAGAAAAGAAGAGAAAGAAGAGAAAGUGAGAGGAAAUAAGAGAGAGUGAGAAAUCUGAGUGUGUGAGUUCUGUCUAAGAAGAAAUUCUAUCAGUGUAAACAUCAUAAAGAGCAAAUAUAAUUUCACUCCCAAUAUUCAGUGGUACUUCUCAUACUCUUUAAUUUCUUUAGUUUUAUAACACGUUAUCAGCACAAUAGUCUCUCCUUUUUAUUUCUAAAUUUGUCCCAGUGUGCUCAACACUAUGUGGUUAUUUCUCUGUCUCCUCUCUGUCAUAUGUCUCAUCUCACUUUACUACUACGACGACAUGCAAACUUUCUUUUUUGUGUUCUCACAAUUUUUAUGUUGUUUCAUCCAUGCUUGUUUAAUUUACUUCUUUGUAACGUAAUUUGGAAUGAUGCCGUUUUAUACCCCAUCAUGUUGUUUUAUGGUGGUGUAAUUUUUAUUACCCAUCACGUUGUAACACAAAUUAUCAUAAUAAAAUGAUGGUGUGAUCUUAAAACCCAUAUAUUAUAUUUUGAAUAGUGGCGCAGUUAUAUUGCCUGCAAUAUAUAAUAUGUUAUAUACUUUAUAUAUUUUAGGUGGUGGUUUUUGUCUCCACAUUUACUUUAACAAAAUGGACGGUUUUCACCUCCUAUAUUUUUCAGUGGUGGUUUUAUCCCCACAUUUAUUUUAUUUAUGGUAUAGAGUAGGUUUAUUACUCAUACGGCAAUAUUUAUUUAAAAAUGUGGCACGGGUUUAUCGUCCACACAGCUGCCUUUAUUUUUAUUUAAAAGUAUGGAGCAGAAUUAGUCCCCCUGCAAGCACAUUUGCUUUAUUAUUGUAUGGUGUGGAAUUAACCUCCAUACAACAAGCAAUUUACUUUAUGAAUUUACUUUACUGCACAUUUUCUUUCAUUUAAGGUAUAGUGCGAAUUUAUCGUCCAUACCAGCAAAUUUAUGGCACUUUAUUUUUAUCAUCAAUUAAUAUACCUGAAUAAUGAGGGCCUGAAGUUCCUAUUAAUAAGUGGCUUAAUGUCCCAGAUCCCAAGCCUAAAGUUUCGGAUGGCAAAUUUGGCAAAACUGAAGUUUACUGCCUUGGACAUUUCUGGAGACAACUAUUUAUCAUGGCUUUUGGUUGCCAAAAUCCAUCUACGUGCCAAUGGCCUCGUACAAACAAUUUUAUAUGGGAAUGAUGAUUUGCCUGAAGAAAAUGCGAAGGCCAUGAUCUUUCUUCGUCACCACAUCCAUGAAGCGCUGAAAAGCGAAUAUGUGGUGGUUGAUGAACCGUUGGUUCUAUGGAAAGCUUUAGGUGAAAGAUACGAUCACUAGAAGAUGGUGACCUUCCCAAGAGCUAGAUAUGAAUGGACCUACUUGAGAUUUCAAGAUUUCAAGACAGUGUCCGAGUACAACUUUGCUAUGCACAGAAUUACCUCAUUGAUGAGGCUAUGUGGUGAAAAUAUAUCUGAGGAGGAUAUGCUCGAAAAAAACUUUGAGCACUUUUCAUGCUUCAAAUGUCCUCCUGUAGCAGCAAUACAGACAUAGCGGUUUCAAGAAGUACUCGGAACUUGUAUCUUGCCUCUUGUUAGUUGAGCAGAAUAAUGAACUCUUAUUAAAGAAUCACCAAUCUUACCCAACGGGCUCAGCACCACUUCUUGAAGUAAAUGUUGCAUCUCAAGAAGUGAAUGUCACCUCAUCCCGUGGCAAUAUCCACAGACGUGGACAAAAAGGCAAGCGUGGCUGCUGGCAAAGAAGCAAAAAAGAUCGUGGUGCUCGUUCAGAUGGUUUAGGUUCAAUGAGCAAUCAUCCACGAAUGGCAAAAAUGCAUCCCGUAAUAAGGGGAAGGCACGGACGAGCCAUGUGCCUAGAAAUGUGGGAAGUACUUGUCACAGAUGUGGUGCAAAGGGACAUUAGGCGCGUGAAUGUCAUACGCCCAAGUAUUUGGCAAGCUCCAAAAGAGUCAAGAAAUUAAAGUCAGACAAAUCCGCUCAAACGAUAACCUGGCAGAUCUCUUCACCAAAUUAUUGCCAAAAUGUACAUUUCAAAAGUUAGUGCAUGGCAUCGGAUUACGAUAACUCUUCAAGCAAUCAAAUUGAAACAUGCAAAAUUAGGGGGAGCAUUCAAGAGUCCACUAACACAGGACAUAUGAGCGUUGUACUCUUUUUCCUUCGACUAGGGUUUUUCCUAGCAAGGUUUUAACGAGGCAACAUGAGCGCAUUUAACAUUACCCUUAUGUCCUAAAUAAAGUUGUACUCUUUUUCCUUCAUUUAUGUUUUUUCCCACUGGAUUUUUUCAAGUAAGUUUUUAAUGAGGCAACCAAUCUAGGGACAUGUAGUCUCCAAGGGGGAGUGUUAUAAAGUAAGAAGUGAAGCCCACAUGAAGAAAGUAAGGAGGUAUUAGUCAAAAGAUGAAAUUAUGAUGUUGGGUAGAAGUAUCAUUAUGUCUCCCUUAGAUGCCAUUUGCUUUGCCUAUAAAUAGGCAUCAUUUUACUUGUAAAGAUACAAUAAUGGAGAAGAGAAGAGAGAGAAGAGAAAGUGAGAGCAAAGAAGAGAGAGUGAGAAAUCUGAGUAUUUGAGUUCUGUUUGAGAAGAAAUUUUGUCAGUGUAAACACCAUAAAGAGAAAAUAUAAUUCCACUCUCAAUAUUCAGUGGUACUUCUCAUACUCUUUGAUUUCUUUAGUUUUAUAACAGUAGACAAAUUCUUCAGCUACACCACCCAAGAAUUUUUCCUGGAAAUAGAGUUUUGAAAGUGGUACCAAGGACAAGUUCAUGUGACAAAAUUAAUACAUUCUAAUUUUUGGAAGAUAGAAGCACCUUGUUAACCAUUUGUUCCAAAUCCAAAAAGGAUGAUCCAUAUGGACCAGUAGUAGCCUCCUCUGCCAACUUCUUCCAUUCCAAGGCUUUCUUCCUCAUCUUUUUGCCCUCC
rnacentral:lncRNA from 1 species